GGAGGUUGCAAGCGUUGUUCGGAAUUACUGGGCGUAAAGGGAGCGCAGGCGGCCAGGUCAGUCUGAAGUGAAAGCCCGGGGGCUCAACCUCGGAAUUGCUUUGGGUACUGCCUGGCUUGAGUACGUCAGAGGUGAGCGGAAUUCCAGGUGUAGCGGUGAAAUGCGUAGAUAUCUGGAGGAACAUCCGUGGCGAAAGCGGCUCACUGGGACGAGACUGACGCUGAGGCUCGAAAGCGUGGGGAGCGAACGGGAUUAGAUACCCCGGUAGUCCACGCCGUAAACGUUGUGCACUAGGUGUGGGAGGUGUCGACCCCUCCCGUGCCGAAGCUAACGCAUUAAGUGCACCGCCUGGGGAGUACGGUCGCAAGACUG
rnacentral:rRNA from 1 species